CUUUGGGAGCUUGCUCCUAAAGAUUAGCGGCGGACGGGUGAGUAACACGUGGGCAACCUGCCUAUAAGACUGGGAUAACUUCGGGAAACCGGAGCUAAUACCGGAUAAUUCUUUUCUACUCAUGUAGAAAAGCUGAAAGACGGUUUACGCUGUCACUUAUAGAUGGGCCCGCGGCGCAUUAGCUAGUUGGUGAGGUAAUGGCUCACCAAGGCCACGAUGCGUAGCCGACCUGAGAGGGUGAUCGGCCACGCUGGGACUGAGACACGGCCCAGACUCCUACGGGAGGCAGCAGUAGGGAAUCUUCCGCAAUGGACGAAAGUCUGACGGAGCAACGCCGCGUGAGUGAUGAAGGUUUUCGGAUCGUAAAACUCUGUUGUUAGGGAAGAACAAGUACGAGAGUAACUGCUCGUACCUUGACGGUACCUAACCAGAAAGCCACGGCUAACUACGUGCCAGCAGCCGCGGUAAUACGUAGGUGGCAAGCGUUGUCCGGGAUUAUUGGGCGUAAAGCGCGCGCAGGCGGUCCUUUAAGUCUGAUGUGAAAGCCCACGGCUCAACCGUGGAGGGUCAUUGGAAACUGGGGGACUUGAGUGCAGGAGAGAAGAGUGGAAUUCCACGUGUAGCGGUGAAAUGCGUAGAGAUGUGGAGGAACACCAGUGGCGAAGGCGACUCUUUGGCCUGUAACUGACGCUG
rnacentral:rRNA from 1 species